AGCAGAGCUUGCUCUGUGGAUCAGUGGCGAACGGGUGAGUAACACGUGAGCAACCUGCCCCGGACUCUGGGAUAAGCGCUGGAAACGGCGUCUAAUACCGGAUACGAGCUGCGAAGGCAUCUUCAGCAGCUGGAAAGAACUUCGGUCUGGGAUGGGCUCGCGGCCUAUCAGCUUGUUGGUGAGGUAACGGCUCACCAAGGCGUCGACGGGUAGCCGGCCUGAGAGGGUGACCGGCCACACUGGGACUGAGACACGGCCCAGACUCCUACGGGAGGCAGCAGUGGGGAAUAUUGCACAAUGGGCGAAAGCCUGAUGCAGCAACGCCGCGUGAGGGACGACGGCCUUCGGGUUGUAAACCUCUUUUAGCAGGAAAGAAGCGAAAGUGACGGUACCUGCAGAAAAAGCGCCGGCUAACUACGUGCCAGCAGCCGCGGUAAUACGUAGGGCGCAAGCGUUAUCCGGAAUUAUUGGGCGUAAAGAGCUCGUAGGCGGUCUGUCGCGUCUGCUGUGAAAACCCGAGGCUCAACCUCGGGCCUGCAGUGGGUACGGGCAGACUAGAGUGCGGUAGGGGAGAUUGGAAUUCCUGGUGUAGCGGUGGAAUGCGCAGAUAUCAGGAGGAACACCGAUGGCGAAGGCAGAUCUCUGGGCCGUAACUGACGCUGAG
rnacentral:rRNA from 1 species